UACGUAGGUGGCAAGCGUUAUCCGGAUUUACUGGGUGUAAAGGGCGCGUAGGCGGGAGAACAAGUCAGAUGUGAAAUGCUGAGGCUUAACCUCAGAGCUGCAUUUGAAACUGUACUUCUUGAGUAUCGGAGAGGCAGGCGGAAUUCCUAGUGUAGCGGUGAAAUGCGUAGAUAUUAGGAGGAACACCAGUGGCGAAGGCGGCCUGCUGGACGACAACUGACGCUGAGGCGCGAAAGCGUGGGGAGCAAACAGG
rnacentral:rRNA from 1 species